rnacentral:ncRNA from 1 species
UCUCCACAGGGCUACACCUACUGCGAAGUAGGGUCGGAAAGCUCCGGGUCUUUACCAAUAAAGAUGGCUGAGUUGCAAAU